GGUUGUGUGUGAGGGCUGAGGGCGCGGCCCCGCUGCUGCCCGGGCUGCGGAGGGGAGAGCGCCUUGGCCGCUGGCCUGGCUCGUGGUUUCCCCUGGUGCUGAGGAGUGGAGGCGAGUUGUGCUUCCUGCUGGGAGAGAGAAGGGCCUUGGGAAGCUGCUCCAUGAGCCACAGCUGUGCCGAGCCCGGGAGUCUGUCCAGACUUCACAAAGCUCCCCAGGAAAGGAAGCUUUAGAUUCCUCCCCAGCUUUAUGCUAAAGGUUUCCUUUCUCCUGUCUCAGCACCCUUUCUGCUGUUGAGAGAGCACGAGGUGGAUGAAGAGGAUCCCCAGGCAUCUGCAGGCACAAGGGACUCGUACAACUGCGAUUUUCCUCCAGCCCUCGUGAGAAGGGCUUUCAGGAUCCUCCUGGGGAAUAACUCCUGUCAGCAGCAAGGUCCCGACUGAAGUGGCAGCUGCAGUUGUUCCUGUGGUGUGGGCCAGUGGAACUGCAGGAGAGUGGAAGAGGGCAGAACCUGUAGGAGAAAAUCUGGAAAGCAGGAAGGAAGAAAAGAAGCCCCCUGACUCCUCCCUGAGCCCCAGACAGCCCAUGAACUGCCUUCUGGGAAUGGUAGGAUGGGCUGGACUCUGGAUUGCUCCCUCUGGAUGUGUGGAACUCCAGGAACUCCUGGUGCCGCCUGGGCCGAUGGAUUGGACGCCCCAGCCCCUCCGUUCCUGCCCAGCCCCUGGGGCCGUGUCCAGUGGUGGCACUGCCAGCCCUGCAGUGGGAUGUAGCCUGGAAAGUGCACAGAGCUGAGCCAAGGGAUUGAAAGGGACCAAGCAAGGGAGGUGAAGAAAGAAGGAAGAAGGGAAGUGAGGCAGCAGCCAAGCAGCACCAAAUUGCUGUGUAAGCAGGAGAAAAUCCAGAAAGCAGGAAGGAAGAAGAGAAGCCCCCUGACUCCUCCUGAGCCCCAGACAGCCCAUGAACUGCCUUCCUGGGAAUGGUGGGACGGGCUGGACUCUGGAUUGCUCCCUCUGGAUGUGUGGAACUCCAGGAACUCCUGGUGCCGCCUGGGCCGAUGGAUUGGACGCCCCAGCCCCUCCGUUCCUGCCCAGCCACUGGGGCCGUGUCCAGUGGGGGCACUGCCAGCCCUGCAGUGGGAUGUAGCCUGGACAGUGCACAGAGCUGAGCCAAGGGAUUGAAAGGGACCAAGCAAGGGAGGUGAAGAAAGAAGGAAGAAGGGAAGUGAGGCAGCAGCCAAGCAGCAGCAAGUUGCUGUGUAAGCAGAAGUUGUUACUCGUGUGUCUCUGUCCUGACCAGGGAUCAAAGGACCAAAGGGAAAGGAUGAGAAGUUCCCUGAGGAGCAGGGUAAGGGCUGUGUGUGCUCAGGGGCCCUGGCUAGAGGCUGCAGGUGCAGUGAGUGUGUGCUGGGCCAAGGCAGCCAAGGUGUGUGCAGCUGUUCUGUGCCCUCCACCCUUGGAGCUAAAAUUUCACAGCCUUGAGCUGUUGGGUCCCAAAUAAUAUUGGAGGGAGAGGCAGAAAAUGCCACUGCUGCUGGGGCAGAACUGUCUGCAGUGACUGGGCAGGACUUGGCCCUGAUGCCUGAGUGCAUCUUUAGGAUGGAUCCCAACUGUCAGCCCCUGGCUCCAUAACUUGAGUAGAGGGUGUUCCUGCCAGCCCAGCUGCUGUGUUGGUGGUCCUGGGGGCACCUCCUGCCCUGGCCUGCUGUGAAUGUGUUUGUGUUGCAGCUCAAUAAAGUCCCUUUCAGUGGUGA